rnacentral:tRNA from 1 species
GGGGCGUUGGAGUAGUGGACUAACUCAUCACCCUUUCAAGGUGAAGAUCACGGGUUCGAAUCCCGUACGCCCUA